rnacentral:rRNA from 1 species
CCGCGUGAGUGAUGAAGGUUUUCGGAUCGUAAAGCUCUGUUGUUAGGGAAGAACAAGUGCCGUUCAAAUAGGGCGGCACCUUGACGGUACCUAACCAGAAAGCCACGGCUAACUACGUGCCAGCAGCCGCGGUAAUACGUAGGUGGCAAGCGUUGUCCGGAAUUAUUGGGCGUAAAGGGCUCGCAGGCGGUUUCUUAAGUCUGAUGUGAAAGCCCCCGGCUCAACCGGGGAGGGUCAUUGGAAACUGGGGAACUUGAGUGCAGAAGAGGAGAGUGGAAUUCCACGUGUAGCGGUGAAAUGCGUAGAGAUGUGGAGGAACACCAGUGGCGAAGGCGACUCUCUGGUCUGUAACUGACGCUGAGGAGCGAAAGCGUGGGGAGCGAACAGGAUUAGAUACCCUGGUAGUCCACGCCGUAAACGAUGAGUGCUAAGUGUUAGGGGGUUUCCGCCCCUUAGUGCUGCAGCUAACGCAUUAAGCACUCCGCCUGGGGAGUACGGUCGCAAGACUGAAACUCAAAGGAAUUGACGGGGGCCCGCACAAGCGGUGGAGCAUGUGGUUUAAUUCGAAGCAACGCGAAGAACCUUACCAGGUCUUGACAUCCUCUGACAAUCCUAGAGAUAGGACGUCCCCUUCGGGGGCAGAGUGACAGGUGGUGCAUGGUUGUCGUCAGCUCGUGUCGUGAGAUGUUGGGUUAAGUCCCGCAACGAGCGCAACCCUUGAUCUUAGUUGCCAGCAUUCAGUUGGGCACUCUAAGGUGACUGCCGGUGACAAACCGGAGGAAGGUGGGGAUGACGUCAAAUCAUCAUGCCCCUUAUGACCUGGGCUACACACGUGCUACAAUGGACAGAACAAAGGGCAGCGAAACCGCG